GUUCGACUCGAACUGAAUCAUACGAUCAAAGGCGACUCUCUCGCCGAGGAGCGGUGUGGUUCCGGCACCCAAUCCGGUCACUGCGCGUCUUUCUCGCGACUCGAGUCGAUCGUCAGUUCUGCCAGUCUGCGUCCCGUCCGCGGGGCGAGGGCUCGGCUUGCAUGGGAGUUCUUCGGGUGGCGUCGUCGACACGUCGACGUCGCCCGGCGUCUUCUGAAAUAUUUCGUCCGGGGCAGCAAUGCUCCGGUCGGAUACUGUGCUGUCUGGCGAGCCUCGGCUCGUCUCGUUCGUCUCUCCGACGCACACAGGCGACGUGUGGAAGAACCAAGUUCACGCACGGUCCCGGCUCACCGGUAUUCCAAACCUUCCUUGUGACGGUUUCGGAUGCUCGGCUUCCCCGGACACACACAACCCCCCGUUGAGCGUGAUUUAUCACAAUCAGGGAGGUUGCUGCUGUGUUCCGGUGUGUUGUGAACGCAUUCCGUUUAACCGAUCCAUGUCACGAGGAAGGGGCACCGCGAGCCAUCUCAGGGACCGUGAACUGAGGACGCUGCCCACGUCAACACGCUUGUGACGAAGCUUGGAGAGAACCAAGCGAACGAGACUCGAGCCGAGCACUCAUCACCGUACUCACAAUAACGCCCACUGAAUUGAUUCGAA
rnacentral:rRNA from 1 species